UGUCGUCAGCUCGUGUUGUGAAAUGUUGGGUUAAGUCCCGCAACGAGCGCAACCCUUAUCCUUUGUUGCCAGCGGUCCGGCCGGGAACUCAAAGGAGACUGCCAGUGAUAAACUGGAGGAAGGUGGGGAUGACGUCAAGUCAUCAUGGCCCUUACGACCAGGGCUACACACGUGCUACAAUGGCGCAUACAAAGAGAAGCGACCUCGCGAGAGCAAGCGGACCUCAUAAAGUGCGUCGUAGUCCGGAUUGGAGUCUGCAACUCGACUCCAUGAAGUCGGAAUCGCUAGUAAUCGUGGAUCAGAAUGCCACGGUGAAUACGUUCCCGGGCCUUGUACACACCGCCCGUCACACCAUGGGAGUGGGUUGCAAAAGAAGUAGGUAGCUUAACCUUCGGGAGGGC
rnacentral:rRNA from 2 species